rnacentral:rRNA from 1 species
GAUGAACGCUGGCGGCGUGCCUAAUACAUGCAAGUCGAGCGAACAGACGAGGAGCUUGCUCCUCUGACGUUAGCGGCGGACGGGUGAGUAACACGUGGAUAACCUACCUAUAAGACUGGGAUAACUUCGGGAAACCGGAGCUAAUACCGGAUAAUAUAUUGAACCGCAUGGUUCAAUAGUGAAAGACGGUUUUGCUGUCACUUAUAGAUGGAUCCGCGCCGCAUUAGCUAGUUGGUAAGGUAACGGCUUACCAAGGCAACGAUGCGUAGCCGACCUGAGAGGGUGAUCGGCCACACUGGAACUGAGACACGGUCCAGACUCCUACGGGAGGCAGCAGUAGGGAAUCUUCCGCAAUGGGCGAAAGCUUGACGGAGCAACGCCGCGUGAGUGAUGAAGGUCUUCGGAUCGUAAAACUCUGUUAGUAGGGAGGAACAAAUGUGUAAGUAACUAUGCACGUCUUGACGGUACCUAAUCAGAAAGCCCCGGCUAACUACGUG